CAGUCGCCGCGGUAAUACGUAGGUGGCAAGCAUUGUCCGGAAUUAUUGGGCGUAAAGGGCUCGCAGGCGGUUUCUUAAGUCUGAUGUGAAAGCCCCCGGCUCAACCGGGGAGGGUCAUUGGAAACUGGGAAACUUGAGUGCAGAAGAGGAGAGUGGAAUUCCACGUGUAGCGGUGAAAUGCGUAGAGAUGUGGAGGAACACCAGUGGCGAAGGCGACUCUCUGGUCUGUAACUGACGCUGAGGAGCGAAAGCGUGGGGAGCGAACAGGAUUAGAUACCCGAGUAGUCCCUGUCUCUUAUAC
rnacentral:rRNA from 1 species